ACGGAAGGCAGCAGUGAGGAAUAUUGGUCAAUGGACGCAAGUCUGAACCAGCCAUGCCGCGUGCAGGAAUAAGGCCCUAUGGGUCGUAAACUGCUUUUGUGGUGGAGCAAUAAGUCGUACGUGUACGGCGAUGAGAGUACAUCGCGAAUAAGCAUCGGCUAACUCCGUGCCAGCAGCCGCGGUAAUACGGAGGAUGCAAGCGUUAUCCGGAUUUAUUGGGUUUAAAGGGUGCGUAGGCUGUGGUCCAAGUCAGGGGUGAAAGCCCGGAGCUCAACUCCGGAACUGCCUUUGAUACUGGAUUGCUGGAAUACGGAUGCCGUGGGAGGAAUGAGUAGUGUAGCGGUGAAAUGCAUAGAUAUUACUCAGAACACCGAUUGCGAAGGCAUCUCACGAAUCCGUCAUUGACGCUGAGGCACGAAAGCGUGGGGAUCAAACAGGAUUAGAUACCCUGGUA
rnacentral:rRNA from 1 species